rnacentral:lncRNA from 1 species
GCCUCUCUAGAGCAUGCUGGGAGGAUGGGCACCAGAGCCGCCUCCCCAGAGCGUGCUGGGAGGAUGGGCACCAGAGCCGCCUCUCUAGAGCAUGCUGGGAGACGGACACCAGUACAUCUCCAAGGACUGCACUUCCCCCGACUCCCACCCCAUUCCCUCACCCACCCCCAACCCGGAGACUAGAGGAAAGUCUGUCCAAAGAUGACUGUGGAAUAGGGAAUGCCAUGGUUCUCUGCAGGUCCCCCACACUAUGGGGGGUUAAGUCAGCAAGUAGGGAAAACAGUCAAGACGAGGAGAUGGAGAAACAGAGAGGCAGGAGAGAAACAGGGGGCUGACAAAGAUGGAGGGGCCAUUGUGUUGCCGGAGGACGAGGGGCUGCUAGCCGGAGGCAUUGAUGUACAGCUGGCUUUUGAGGAUGUAGUCGAUGACCGGCUGGGACAGGUAAUCCACAACAUGGCCGUCCCCAUGCUGCAGGGCCAGCCUGCACAAGAAGAGAUGACAAUCAGAUGGACAUCCACACCCAAAGCAAGUCAGGAGGACUGGCAUGCCCCUGUCUCCCCAGCACCCCAUUUGUAGCCUUUUCUCAGGUUGAGUAAAUAGUUCUGUAUUAGGAAAGGCCCUCUUGCCUCCACAACUCCUUCCCCACCUUGGUGACAUCAUUCAUCGUGGUUCUGCCACUUCCUAGACCCUGCACUUGAUGGACCAGCUGGCACCACCCAGAUCAAUAAACUGGCUUAUUUGAAUUUGCGGCCCCCCACCCAGGAACUGACUCAGUGCAAGAAGACAGCUUCGACUCCCUGUGAUUUCAUCUCUGACCAAUCCGCACUCCUGGCUCACUGGCUUCCCCAACCCAUGAAGUUUUCCUUAAAAACUCUGCUCCCGAAAUGCUCAGGGAGACUGAUUUGAUAACAAUAAAACUCUGGUCUCCCGCA